rnacentral:rRNA from 1 species
AGGGGAUCUUCGGACCUUUCGCUAUGAGAUGAGCCUGCGUUAGAUUAGCUAGUUGGUAGGGUAAAGGCCUACCAAGGCGACGAUCUAUAGCUGGUCUGAGAGGACGAUCAGCCACACUGGGACUGAGACACGGCCCAGACUCCUACGGGAGGCAGCAGUGGGGAAUAUUGGACAAUGGGCGAAAGCCUGAUCCAGCAAUACCGCGUGUGUGAAGAAGGCCUUAGGGUUGUAAAGCACUUUCAAUUGGGAGGAAAACCUGCCGGCCAAUACCCGGUAGCUUGACAUUACCUUUAGAAGAAGCACCGGCUAACUCCGUGCCAGCAGCCGCGGUAAUACGGAGGGUGCGAGCGUUAAUCGGAAUUACUGGGCGUAAAGCGUGCGUAGGCGGUUAGUUAAGUCAGAUGUGAAAGCCCCGGGCUUAACCUGGGAACUGCAUUUGAUACUGGCUAACUAGAGUUUAAGAGAGGGGAGUGGAAUUUCAGGUGUAGCGGUGAAAUGCGUAGAGGUCUGAAGGAACACCAGUGGCGAAGGCGACUCCCUGGCUUAAAACUGACGCUGAGGUACGAAAGCGUGGGUAGCGAACAGGAUUAGAUACCCUGGUAGUCCACGCCGUAAACGAUGUCAACUAGC